UCAUCACAUGGGUGACCCUUCCCUCAUCCUUCUUUGGAGCGCAGAUUAGGACAUGAUUGGAGUUUGCAUGAUGGGUGAUUAAUACAAUAGGUCUGCACAAUUGGUCCAUGCCCUGAUUGCUCCUGUUUGAA
rnacentral:snoRNA from 1 species